rfam:Schistosoma rodhaini strain Burundi genome assembly, scaffold: SROB_scaffold0001590
AUCCAGCUGACGAGUCCCAAAUGGGACGAAACGCGCGUUCUGGAU